rnacentral:rRNA from 1 species
UGUUGUAUGUUGAAGAAUGUAAUCAUUAGGCCUUUGUGUCUAUAGAACCUUAUACAACUUUCAGCAACGGAUCUCUUGGCUCUCGCAUCGAUGAAGAACGCAGCGAAAUGCGAUAAGUAAUGUGAAUUGCAGAAUUCAGUGAAUCAUCGAAUCUUUGAACGC